GUACUAGAGGAACAGAGAGACAGGAGUCAUUGUCAGUGCAGAGUCUUCUCGACAAGCGCACAGAGUCCAGUCGCCAGGAACUGUCCAGUGAGAUCACCCUGGGAUUCCCCUGCAUCCAGGACCUCAUUCUGCAGUUCCACUGGGACCUUGCCCAAAUCCACCCACAGCGACUAAGAACGCUGCUCCGUGGCCUCUCUUUAGCUAUCAAAUGUGUUUCGUUUCAUCCUUCCCAUUUUCCCAUCUUCCAGCAAGGCUGAAGGAGCCAGUGUCGGGCAGCUCGUCACCCUGCCAGCAGCUCAGAGAACAGUUUUACAGGCGACCAAACCUCCUGAUGCUUUCCAGAUUCCUGGUAGCGCUGGGGCAAGUGGCCUGCUUCCCAUACUGGAUGACAGAGAUUCCGACCCCGCAGUGUGUGCCUUUACUAGAUGGCAAGAACCUGGUUUUCCUUUAUUUGGUCAUCUGCCACCCUAUCAAGUCACCAGUCAAGGUUACUGGCCUCCUCUGACCCCCUCAGGACAACCCAGUGUUACGGCCAGUGACCUGGGCAUUGCCCAGACCUGGCCCUUCUCUGCAACCUUCUGAGUGAAGCUGUUUGGAGGGAAAAAUAAGGCAAAAAGAACGAACGGCAGUAGGUAAUGCAGGAAGUUAUGUCUAUACCGGAGGAAGCAUUUUCCCUCUUACUGCCAGUGCCACCAGGAACAACUAUUCAGGGAGGAUGAGAAAAAAAGGUACGUAAUCACACCGCGGGUAUAAAGGUUUUCCUCACCCUCUACGUUGCUCCCCAGACUCCUUUUACGCCCAGGAGAGACAGACAAGGGGUUCCCUCCCUUCGAGAUUAAGAGAGAGAGGCUGCGUCUCUGAGCAGCUGCCACUUAACCCACUCCCGGCAACAGCAAGGAGCAGAGGCAGCUUCCAGGGCUACUUCCCCUCAAACUUGGAAGCCCGCUCUACCAGGCAGCUUCAGAAUGAAGCACUGCAGGGAAAUUUCUGGGCAGAGUCUGGGGGAGGCAGCACACUAGGACAAACGCCUAGAGGCCUAACUUCCAAAGUAAAAACCCAGUAUAAAAUGCCAAAGAAAGGCCCAAGCAAGUGAUCAAGGCUCAGUUAAUCCCAUAGAGAGAAACAUCUGGGACAGAGCCAGUCACCUUGACCUUGCUAAUCCUGAACAACAUCAGUGCUGCCUCAAUGCCCCCGUGGAACACCAAGCUGUCUCCGUGCCUUUCCAAGUCCACCCCCUCAAGUGGGUCCGGGUUGGGCUAAAACAGGGGUUCCUAAGAAGGAGCAUUAAUUGUUUCAGAGAAGAGUCAUAAUAACAUCUAACCACUGACUCAGCAAUCCUGAAGGACAGACUGAAGAAAGGGCCUGGCGGAGGGGACAGGGCUGUCGGCUGGUGGUGCUGCUUGGGGAGGGGCCCCCACGCAGACACUAAUCCCCUUCAUUUGGUUCCUCAUCAGAUACAGGAACCAGAGGGCAGGCUCUAAGAGGAUCAGUCUGUUGGGCCGGCAUCUUCUCCCUUUAAUCUCUCUUGAUAUUCUGAUCCUUUAAUUCCAAUGAGACAAGUGAAGGCCGUUCUGUUAAUCCAAAGGGGUUAAGUAAGACUGGCCUUCAGAAGCUACAAGUGAGGGACACUUUUCAUGCCAGAGGGUUCCCUUUGGCAAAGUGGCACCACACCUUGGGAAAGCAGAAAGCAGCCACACUCAGACGGGGGUGGGGGUGGCGGGCAGACCAUUAAAUCAGAUACAAAACCCUUAUCCAUCUGAGGAUUCCAGCCUCCUCAGGCCUAGGACAAUGAGGCCUGCCCUUGUCCCAAAGAACUAAGACACUCAGCUAAGAAAAACAGACUCUACCACUUAGGCAACCUGGGAGCGGGAGCCCAGGAACAUGCAGUGGGUGGGCCUGAAACACUGACAGGCAAUAUUAUCAUGAAAAACAGCACAGCUGUUGGCCCCAUCCACGUGACUGUGUCAGGCCAGGUACCACAGGCGGAUGGUAACACGCAUUUCUGGAAAUGGGAAGUAAAACAGCCCUGCCCACAGGGAAGAGGGUGGGCCUAUCUAAGCCAGGAACCACCGGUGGACACACCCUUGUCAAACAUCCAGGGCUUUCUCCGCAGAAGGCCUAGAAACCCUGUGCAGUGUUAACCCAAAGGCUCUGGCCAGAUAGAAGCUAAUUCCGCCCCAAAAUAUUGAUUCACACCAUCAGGAUCGUUAUAAAGACAUGGCCUUCUCUUUUCUCCUUCUUCUCUUUCCCAACCUACAACAGAAAGCCCUGAGGAAGGGUGCCUGGCUGGCUCAGUCACAAGAGCAUGCAGUUCUUGAUCCUGAGGCCUUGAGUUAAGCUCCACGUUGGCUAUACAGAUCACUUACAUAAAUAAAUAAACUUUAAAAAAAAAAAGGAAAGAAAG